AAAAUAAAUCCACUGAACAAAUCUCUAUCAACACCAGGAUACUUGAAUUUUCAGUUAUAAACACACCUGCAGUUCCAUCAUGAAUCGCUUGAUGGCAGUGUAAGCAGGUUGACCGUGUGAGGGCAGAAAUCCUGUUGCUCCUCCAUUUGCAUUGAGCAUUUUGACUGCAUCAAGUGCGUCUGACAACUUAAAGAUUUACACGGCAAUCAGCAUGAAAUAAAUCACUCCAGUGAUCUUCAUAUCCGAAAACGGGGGAUAAACCGCGUGAGCUCUGGCAGGCUAUAGUGCUAAGAUGGGAUUGAAAGGGCAUGCGCUGCAUAAAAACAUAUGCCAGAGUAUUUGGCGGUUCUUUCCACUUACUGUGGCGAUCCCUGGUCUAAUCUGAAGGAAAGUGACCUGUAACUGUGAACUAAUUUUAAGUUAUUUUUGUGAAAUGCUACUUUUCUGGAAUUGCAGAACAACCACCUCAUAUACUGUAAGUGUUAAAAUGUAUUUGUGUUAUAUGGGAUUUUUUUUUUUUGCAAAAUUAGCAUGUUUCCAUUGGAUGUAUUCUAAAUUUUCUGUUUCAUGUUGCACAGAUUAAAGGGUAAUCGAAAAGUAUUUGAUCUCUUGUGAUUUCUCUCUCCUCUGUGCUAUUAUAUAUCCUUAACACACUUCACAUUCCCACAUAAUAAACUAUUUAAUUAAAAAUGUAAUAAACAUGUAUUAAAUGCUUCUAAUGCAUACAAUGUCUCAAAAUCCUGUCUGUAAGCAGCUCACUUGUUUUUGAGCACAUAUGCGAAAAGUAAUGACACAUGUGCACAUCUCUUUCACAUACCAACAAAUUAAAUAUUAAACAUACAUUCAUCAGAAGAGCAGGUCUUUCUUGGCAAGAGAGUAAUCAAAAUUGCACCAAGCAGUAGAUGUUAGUCUGCCGAGGUUAUUGACUGCCUCACGAGGUGUGUAGAAAUGAUGAAAUGGUUCAAUGUAUGUAGCAUUUCAACCAUUUCAAGAGCAAAGUAAUGACGCAGAGAAUAUAUAAGGCACGCUCUGUGCAAGAUCUGAACACCACGGUGAAUAGAAACAGAAGAGUUGAAUGAGCACUGGGCCGGACUUCCCACAAUUACUCCCCAUGGGGGCUGCUUGUACGGCAAAACAGCCUGUUAGUUUCUGAAGCACACUAGAUUUUAUUCCCCAGCCUGACUGCUGGUCUUCCAUUGCUGCGAGAUCCAACAGUUUACUCAAUUUUCAACUUUUACACCAAAGCGUCGCUUCCCUCACUCAGGGAAAUGCAUGCUUACCUUCAUUCAGCAGCGUAAAGAGGACAAAACGGCGACAAAUUACAGAGAGGGACAUUAACGCUGACGAACACAACAUGACAAGAAAAUGGUAGAGACUUGCGCCUCCCAGCUCUCUUUCUCGCCCAAAGAGAUUUAAAUAAUAAAAACCGUCGGCCUGUGAACAAACAGGAUAAUUAUGGCCUGCAGUCUUCCUGUCGCUGGUCAGGCACGGCAGAGCAGAAAGAAACACGUUAUUACCACUCAAAGCUUUCUGCCAAGGAAUUAGGCAACAUCAAUGUUUCAUGUAGUCGCCCGGUUUGGAAAGAGACUGAAAAAUCGACACAUUUUGACCAGGCUUUUCUGUGUGCUGUUUUUCUCCCACUGUGAAAGGAAACGUGGGGUCUGAAAAUCCCAAAUAGACUGGAGAAAUUUUUGCACUUGUAAAGAGAGAUUACGAGUUGGAGUAAAUUGCAUGUGAAACUGGCUUGGAUUUGUACAUGCAAAGCGCUUGAAGUUCACGGCGGGUAAA